UCGAGCCUAAUAGUUGCCAAACACACACAAAAAAAAGAAAAAAGGCGCCCGGAGAGAUCAGCUCAUCUCCUGCCUACGUACCUCAUCUGGUAUGAGGAUCAGGGCGACGUAGUUCCCCUACGCAGGGACAAAGGACGAACAAACAAACUAAAAGGGAGACUAGAGCUCGAGCCUAAUAGUUGCCACGCAAACAAAAAGAGACGCUGAGACGUUAGAAGGAACACAAAGGUUGAAAGGAC
rnacentral:lncRNA from 1 species